rnacentral:rRNA from 1 species
UACGUAGGUGGCAAGCGUUGUCCGGAAUUAUUGGGCGUAAAGCGCGCGCAGGCGGUCCUUUAAGUCUGAUGUGAAAGCCCACGGCUCAACCGUGGAGGGUCAUUGGAAUCUGGGGGACUUGAGUGCAGAAGAGGAAAGCGGAAUUCCACGUGUAGCGGCGAAAUGCGUAGAGAUGUGGAGGAACACCAGUGGCGAAGGCGGCUUUCUGGUCUGUAACUGACGCUGAGGCGCGAAAGCGUGGGGAGCAAACAGG